UGCUUCUUGAAACACCCAUAAAAAGUAAUCUCUGCCCAGUGAACACUUAAACGGCCGCGGUACCCUGACCGUGCAAAGGUAGCAUAAUAGCUUGCCUUUUAAUUAAAGGCUUGUAUGAACGAGCUAACGUGAGUUUAACUGUCUCUAACAAUAACAUUAAAAUAAACCUUCACGUGAAAAGGCUUGAAUAACAUUAAAAGACAAGAAGACCCUGUCGAGCUUAAUUGAAACAAAGUAAUAAGAAAAAUAUUUUAUCCCUAUUACACAAAUAACAAUUUAGUUGGGGCAACUAAGGAACAAAAAACCUUCCUUUAAACCCGACACCAAACACGAAACCCAAAAAAUUGAACAAAGAAACUAGCUACCGCAGGGAUAACAGGUCAAUUUUUCUUAAAAGUACGCAUUAACAGAAAAGUUUUACACCUCGAUGUUGGCUUAGGCUAUCCAGUUAGCGCAGAAGCUAAUAAAGGCGGGUUUGUUCAACCCAAAAAGCCUACGUGAUCUG
rnacentral:rRNA from 4 species